rnacentral:rRNA from 1 species
CGGAUCAGGUAGGGAUACCCGCU